rnacentral:lncRNA from 1 species
ACAUCUAUGGUUCCAGAUUUCUUUCCUAAGGUUUCUAGCUCCAGCGUUGUCUCAUUUUAGGUUUUCUUUAUUGUUUCUACUUCCCUUUGUAGGUCUUGGAUGGUUUUGUUCAAUUCCAUCACUUAUUUGGUUGUGUUUUCCUGUAUUUCUUUAAGGACUUCUACCUCUUUAGCAGUGUUCUCCUGUGUUUCUUAAAUGAGUUAUUAAAGCCCCUCUUGAUGUCUUCUAUCAGCAUCAUGAGAUAUGAUUUUAAAUCUGAGUCUUGUUUUUUAGGUGUGUUGGGGUAUCUAUGACUUGCUGAGGUGGGAGUGCUGGGUUCUGAUAAUGGUGAGUGGUCUUGUUUUCUGUUAGUAAGAUUCUUAUGUUUGCCUUUUGCCAUCUGGUAAUCUCUGGAGUUAGUUGUUAUAGUUGUCUCUGGUUGGAGCUUGUUCCUCCUGUGAUUCUUUUAUCCUCUUUCAGCAGACCUAGGAAUUUAGCUCUCUCCUGAGUCUCAGUGGUCAGAGUACUCUCUGCAGGCAAGCUCUCCUCUUGCAGGGAAGGUGCACAGAGGUCUUGUGUUCAGACCUGCCUCCUGGCUGAAGAUGAAGUCCCGAAACUGGGCCUGUCCCAGAAGAUGUGUUGCCUCUGCAGUCUGCACUCUCACCUGUGCAGACUAGUCUCUAAGGGAUCUGGGACCCAAGAUGGCUCCCUUACCUGCUCUGGAAGAGCCCUCCUGGGUGGACACCUCUCCUCUGGUGGGGAAGGUGCCUGGAGUCCAAAAUGGGGUUUGUCCCAGAAGCUGUGUUGCUUCUGCCUGUCCCAGAAGCUGUGUAGCUUCUUCAGUCCACUUGCUCACCCUUCCCAGUAUGUAAGCUUACCUGCACAGACUGGUCUCUGAGGGAUCUGGGCAAUAAUAUAAUUUUUUAAUCCUAAGAUAAAUGUUAAAUUCAUAUGACAGUUUAUGUGCUUAGUAAAUUUUAGUAAUUGUGGCUACUAAUCACCAGGCUGUCUCUCCUGUGUUUCUCAAAAGUAUAGGCUGCCGAUGGAUAUAGCAUUUUAUAUUAUAUUAAAAACUCUUAGUUGAGUUUUUUCCUGUAUCAAGUCAUGCAAUUAUUUGUCCACUUAGGUUUAUAUUUAAUUUCCCUAAAGCACCAUAAGUAUCUCUCCUCUUCCCCUUAUCUUCUGCUGGGAUUGUUCUCAUAUACUGUUGAAGAACUUCUGCGCAAAUGCACUGUGAACCGCAUCUACAAAAAUUUACAAAAUCUCUUUUAUUUCUAUAUUUAGAAUCUGGUGUCACUUGCGGGGCUAACAAAUCUUUGGAAAAACAUAGAUGUUAUGAUGAACACAAAGAUUAUAUAAGUCAUUAGCUAUAUGUUUUUUCUACCCAGAUGGUUGUGUGUGAACAUAUGUACCUCAAAUGGGUUGGAAGUAUAUGACAGUUUUCUCAGUUCUUCUGUAUAAUCAUAGCUAAUGAUUAGGUAUAUGCAUAUAUUGUCACACUUAGGCACACUAUACAUGAACAUAGCAUUCAUUACAUGUUCUCUUGUUACAAUAAUCUUAUCACAUAAAUGAAAGGUAGCAUUAAAAUAAUUAUAGUCAUAAAAUGUAAUGUUUAUGGUAUGAUAUAUGAUAUCAGGUCUAUGUACAAUAAUUACUAAAUUCUAUAUGAUUAUCAGUUUCAAGUGAUAACAAAGAUGUAUUAGAUAAGUUUCAAAAUAGUUUCAUAUCAAAUAUCAUUUUAGAUAUGAGAUCAUGGAGAAGCUUGUUUUCCUUAGGUGCAAAUUUGAUAAUUCAAAAGUACACCAAAACUAAUAAUUUAUUUAAUACCAUGAUUUUUACUCUAACUAAAAUACUCAUUAAAAUUAUAAUAUUUUUUAAUGUUUUUGGUUUUGCAUUUUUAUACUUUUAUAUAAGGCAUCACUUAGAAAAGAAAAUGGCAAUUGUACACUCUAUUUUAAUAUAACUAGCUUAAAAUGCAGAUAUUUAAUUUUUAUUAACAACAAAGCCCCACAUUUAUUAUUUUGAAGAAGUUGCUUUUACAAUAUAUAUUUUCCUUAGAUUUGUAUACAAAUCAAUAAUAAUUUGACCACAGUUACCUUUCUGUUCCCUAAUGUAUGGGAGAAAGUUUAAGUACACAAAUCACUC